rnacentral:hammerhead_ribozyme from 1 species
GCACUAGUGAUGAGACCCAACCAGGUCGAAACAGCUGUCCAGUAC